UUUUAUGGCGGUCAUGCGCAGGGCGUCUUCGGACGCGCCGGUUCUCCAAGUCACCGGUCUACCAACCCGCGUAUGGCCGCCACCCUU
rnacentral:antisense_RNA from 2 species